AUUGAACGCUGGCGGCAGGCCUAACACAUGCAAGUCGAACGAGUGGCGGACGGGUGAGUAAUGUCUGGGAAACUGCCUGAUGGAGGGGGAUAACUACUGGAAACGGUAGCUAAUACCGCAUACCAUCAGAUGUGCCCAUAUGGGAUUAGCUAGUUGGGGGGGUAACGGCGCACCAAGGCGGCGAUCCCUAGCUGGUCUGAGAGGAUGGCCAGCCACACUGCAACGAAGAAACGGUCCAGACUCCGACGUGAGGCAGAAGUGGGGAAUAUUGCAAAUGGGGCGAAAGACAGCUGCAGCCAGGCCGCGUGUAUGAAGAAGGUCUUCGGGUUGUAAAGUACUUUCAGCGGGGAGGCGUUACCCGCAGAAGAAGCAUCGUCUAACUCCGUGCAAGCAGCCGCGGUAAGUC
rnacentral:rRNA from 1 species